GGAGUUAGCCGGUGCUUCUUCUGUGAGUGAUGUCCUUCCUGCCGGCUAUUAACCCGCAGGCCUUCUUCCUCACUGAAAGUGCUUUACAACCCGAAGGCCUUCUUCACACACGCGGCAUGGCUGGAUCAGGGUUGCCCCCAUUGUCCAAUAUUCCCCACUGCUGCCUCCCGUAGGAGUCUGGGCCGUGUCUCAGUCCCAGUGUGGCUGAUCAUCCUCUCAGACCAGCUACGGAUCGUCGCCUUGGUGAGCCGUUACCUCACCAACCAGCUAAUCCGACAUAGGCUCAUCCGAUAGCGCGAGGCCCGAAGGUCCCCCGCUUUCCCCCGUAGGGCGUAUGCGGUAUUAGCCUGGGUUUCCCCAGGUUAUCCCCCACUACCGGGCAGAUUCCUAUGCAUUACUCACCCGUCCGCCGCUCGCCACCAGGGAGCAAGCUCCCCGUGCUGCCGCUCGACUUGCAUGUGUUAGGCCUGCCGCCAGCGUUCAAUCUGAGCCANAGANACCAACGCUGA
rnacentral:rRNA from 1 species